rnacentral:rRNA from 1 species
GACGAACGCUGGCGGCGUGCUUAACACAUGCAAGUCGAACGGUGAAGCGCCUUCCUUUUUGGUGGGUGUGGAUGAGUGGCGAACGGGUGAGUAACACGUGAGUAACCUGCCCCCUUCUUCUGGAUAACCGCAUGAAAGUGUGGCUAAUACGGGAUAUUCUGGGUCUGUCGCAUGAUGGGUCUGGGAAAGAUAUUGUUGCGGUGGGGGAUGGGCUCGCGGCCUAUCAGCUUGUUGGUGGGGUGAUGGCCUACCAAGGCGGUGACGGGUAGCCGGCCUGAGAGGGUAGACGGUCACACUGGGAGUGAGCCACGGGCCAGACUCCUACGGGAGGCAGCAGUGGGGAAUAUUGCACAGUGGGCGCAAGCCUGAUGCAGCGACGCCGCGUGAGGGAUGGAGGCCUUCGGGUUGUGAACCUCUUUCGCCAGUGAAGCAGGCCUGCCUCGUUUGUGGGUGGGUUGACGGUAGCUGGAUAAGAAGCGCCGGCUAACUACGUG